CGAUGGUUGCUGCAUUUGUGGAAGAUACAACUCAGUUUUGAUAUGUACACUCGUGUUGAGUGAGUAUGAUUUUUUGGUGAGUUAUAGGAGUGAAAAUAAUGUUUUAUGGUGGUAAAAAUUAAGAUGAUUAUGAUAAUUGUUUAUGAAGUAGUGGAGUGAUUUUUGUAUUAAAGGGCAAGUUAUUUGUGAGAGAAAAGAGAGGUUUUUAUGGUGAGAAAUGUGAGUUAUGUGUUAAUAAAGGUGAAGGUGCUAUCAUGUUUAAGUGUAAGGAGUAUGAAAAUAUGGAAAAGUUGAAUAAGGUAGGAGAAAGGAGUAUAGAAAUAUGGAGUUUGUUAUGUGUGUUUGGAAAUGGAGGAGCUGUUGUUUUAUGGAAGUGGGGAGAUAAGAGCUUGCUGAAUGAGAAUGGUUGUUUAGUAGUAUGGUUUUUGUGAGUACAUGAAGAUGAGGGUACUAUUUCUUUAUAAUUUUGAAAUGUUAAAGGAUAGACUUUGAGAGUGAAAGGCUUAUGUGAGUUCAAGAUUUAUGAAGGAUGAAAUAAAGAGAUGGGGAG
rnacentral:lncRNA from 1 species